CACGUAGGAGGCAAGCGUUAUCCGGAUUUACUGGGCGUAAAGCGCGUGUAGGCGGCUUGGCAAGUCGGAUGUGAAAGCUCCUGUCUCAACUGGGAGAGGUCGUUCGAAACUGCCAGGCUCGAGGACGGUAGAGGGAGGUGGAAUUCCCGGUGUAGUAGUGAAAUGCGUAGAGAUCCGGAGGAACAUCAGUGGCGAAGGCGGCCUUCUGGGGCACACCUGACGCUAAGACGCGAAAGCUAGGGGAGCGAACGGG
rnacentral:rRNA from 1 species